UUGAACAGGAUCAUUUUUGUGUAUUACUAUUAUUUUCUCUUGAGGACUAUAUGGAAACGUCUUUUAUGUGGAAUAUGUUAUUCAGGUCAGUACUAAAUAAAAAAUAACAUGCAUUUUGUAUAAUCCCUCAUAUUUUAGUAAAGUAAUUGACAUUUAGCGGAUAUUGCAAAGUGUAUGUAACAUUUUGACCACA